rnacentral:lncRNA from 1 species
CUGAAACUCUACCACUGGCUUUCCUGGGUCUCCAUGUUGUAGAUGGCAGAUCGCGGAACUUCUCAGCCUCUAUAAUCACGUGAGCCAGUUCUGUUUCUCUAGAAAACCCUGCCUAAUACAUACACCAAAGUGUUUAAAUGCCAAGAACCACCACGCUGUGUGCAGCGCAGCGUGAUCAUGGUGACAUCCUUGCAACCACCCACGAUGACUCACACCACCCUUGCCACAUGGUAUCAGCUGUCUUAGGUCAGCGCCCCAGAAACAGAGCCUAAGAUGGGGAGUUUGGGGCAAAUGAUAUAUGGAGGGAGCAUUCUCAGAAGAAACCUGUGAAAGAAUGAGGGAAGCAGGACACGGCCGGACAAUGAGCAGGCAACUGUGGUUUCACGAGAAGCCUGGUGUGUGCACGACCCCGUGGGGAGUUAGGAGCAUGAAUUGUACCACAGAUGUUGUCCUGCCCAGAGGCAAGCAGGUGUGGUUGGUGUACAACAACCUUGCCACAUUCGAGUUAUCUAUUGUUGUGAACAAUCCACCCCCAGACUUAGUCGCUUAAUAUAACAGUAAUCUAUUUGCACACUCUGUCCAUAAAAGCAUUGUUCACCAGAGCCCAAAGGUGGAAGGAACCCAAGUGUCCGUGGAUGAAUGAGCAGAUAAACAAAAUGUGGCAUACACAUACAAUGGACUAUUAUUCAGUCUUAAAAAGGAAGUUCAUCACAACAUGGAUGAUGUUUGAAAGCAUUAUGCUCAACGAAAUAAGCCAGAUCCAAAUAAACAAAUCCAGUAUGAUUCCAAUUAUCUGAGGCUCCCAGAGUAGUCAAAUUCAUAGAGACAGAAAGCAGACUGGCGGUUUCUAGGGAGGGGGGAGCGGAAACGGGGAGUUGCUGUUUAAUGGGUACAGCGUCUCACUUCUGCCAGAUGGAAAAAUUCUGAAGAUUCGUUGUAGAGCAAACCGAGUAUUCUUAAUACCACCGAACUGUACAUUCAAAAAUGGCUCAGAUGUGGGGCUGGCCCGGUGGCUCAGCAGUUAAGUUCGCACAUUCCACUUCGGCGGCCUGGGGUUCACCGGUUCAGAUCCCAGGUGUGGACCUACAUACUGCUUGGCAAGCCAUGCUGUGGCAGGCGUCCCACAUAUAAAGUAGAGGAAGAUGGGCAUGGAUGUUAGCUCAGGGCCAGUCUUCCUCAGCAAAAAGAAGAAGAUUGGCGGCAGAUGUUAGCUCAGGACUAAUCUUCCUCAAAAGGAAAAAAUAUGGCUCACAUGGUAAAUUUUAUGUCAUGUGUUUUUUACCACAAUUAAAAAUAAAAGUAAAUUUUAAAACAGCAGUCAUCAUUCAUUAGACGUCAUUGUCUCCGAGGGUCACAGAGUCAGGAGUGGCUGAGCUGGGCUGGGCUGUUCCCACUCAGGGUGACCCGCGAGGUUGUAGGAGACGGCAGCUGGGGCUUAGGUCAUCUGGAAAGCUUCUCCCCCCGCAUGUCCAGUGCUUGGCCUGAGAAGCCUCGAAUGGCUGGGGCUCCUCAGGUGUCUCUUCUCCGGUGGUCCCUACAGCAUGGUGGCUUCAGGGCUGCUGGACUUCUUACGUGGUGCUAGGACUCCAAAGGCAUAUGUCCUGAGAGAGUCAGAGACAGAGCGAGGGCCAGGCCUGAGCUUUGUCAUUUCUCACACUCUUGCUUUAGAGGUGCCUUAGUUUCCUGGGGCUGCUGUUAACGAAGUACCACACACUAGGGGCUGAAAACAACAGAAAUUUGUCCUCUCAGUUCUGGAGGCUGGAAGUCUGGACUCCAAGGUGUCGAUGGGUCCAUACUUCCACUGAAGGCUCCAGGGGAGGAAUCCCCCCUCCCUCUGCCUACCUUCUGGUGUGGCCCACAAUCUUUGGUGUUCCCUGGCUUGUAGAUGCACCACGCCAAUCUCUGCCUCCAUCGUUACACGACGCUCUCCUGUGUGUGUGUCUGUGUGUCUGAGUCUCCGUGUCUCUUCUUAUAAGGACUCCGGUCAUUGGAUUUAGGGCCCACCCUAAUCCAGCAGACCGCAUCUUAACUUGAUUACAUC